rnacentral:misc_RNA from 1 species
GACAUUGGGGUAUGAGAGGUUGGUACCAUGAAGGAAGUAACUUGGAGGAAGCUUGUGUACGUAUGGAUGGUGCUGAAGUUGUUUGGCCUUCUUGGAGGAAUAAAAAUCUUUCUACUCGCCCAAUGAUUCAGCCUCUCCCUGGAGGUUUGCUGCAAGAUCGUCUGAUUGCUAUGUCCCAACUUGGACGUGACCAGGAACAUCCAGAUGUAUCAUUUCCACUUCAACCACCUGAGUUGCAGAACUGUCCAGCACGAAAGGCAUCUCUUUCU